ensembl:ncRNA T05B4.16 ncRNA
AGCAGAUGGGUAUCCGGCAGUGGUGUCUGGAGCAGCGUAAAGAGCUUGGCAAGCUGCAUCGGAGAUGGUGUUGGAGCAGGCUACGGCGGCUGGGGUGUAGACGAACUGAAAUUUUGAGAUUGAGGGAAUAUUAUAAUUGGAGGUAAUAA